rnacentral:rRNA from 1 species
GGUAGUCCACGCCGUAAACGAUGUCUACUUGGAGGUUGUGCCCUUGAGGCGUGGCUUCCGGAGCUAACGCGUUAAGUCGACCGCCUGGGGAGUACGGCCGCAAGGUUAAAACUCAAAUGAAUUGACGGGGGCCCGCACAAGCGGUGGAGCAUGUGGUUUAAUUCGAUGCAACGCGAAAAACCUUACCUGGUCUUGACAUCCACGGAAGUUUUCAGAGAUGAAAAUGUGCCUUCGGGAACCGUGAGACAGGUGCUGCAUGGCUGUCGUCAGCUCGUGUUGUGAAAUGUUGGGUUAAGUCCCGCAACGAGCGCAACCCUUAUCCUUUGUUGCCAGCGGUCCGGCCGGGAACUCAAAGGAAACUGCCAGUGAUAAACUGGAGGAAGGGGGGGAUGACGUCAAGUCAUCAUGGCCCUUACGACCAGGGCUACACACGUGCUACAAUGGCGCAUACAAAGAGAAGCGACCUCCCGAGAGCAAGCGGACCUCAUAAAGUGCGUCGUAAUCCGGAUUGGAGUCUGCAACUCGACUCCAUGAAGUCGGAAUCGCUAGUAAUCGUGGAUCAGAAUGCCACGGUGAAUACGUUCCCGGGCCUUGUACACACCGCCCGUCACACCAUGGGAGUGGGUUGCAAAAGAAAUAGGUAGCCUAACCUUCCGGAGGGCGCUUACCACUUUGUGAUUCAUGACUGGGGUGAAGUCGUAACAAGGUAACC